UGGGGAAUUGCUGGGUCAUAUGGUGUUCAUUUAACUUUAUAAGAAACUGCCAAAGUACUUUCCAGAGUGACUGUACCAUUUUGCAUUGCCACAAACAAU
rnacentral:pre_miRNA from 1 species